UACGGAGGGUGCAAACGUUGCUCGGAAUUAUUGGGCGUAAAGGGCGCGUAGGCGGCCCCUUAAGUCAAAGGUGAAAUCCCUCGGCUCAACUGAGGAACUGCCUUUGAAACUGAUGGCUUGAGGCCGGGAGGGGGUAGCGGAAUUCCCAGUGUAGCGGUGAAAUGCGUAGAUAUUGGGAGGACACCAGUGGCGAAGGCGGCUACCUGGACCGGUUCUGGACGCUGAUGCGCGAAAGCGUGGGUAGCAAACAGG
rnacentral:rRNA from 1 species